rnacentral:rRNA from 1 species
UACGAAGGUGGCAAGCGUUGUUCGGAUUUAUUGGGCCUAAAGCAUCCGUAGCCGGUCCUACAAGUCUUCCGUUAAAUCCACCUGCUUAACAGAUGGGCUGCGGAAGAUACUAUAGGGCUAGGAGGCGGGAGAGGCAAGCGGUACUCAGUGGGUAGGGGUAAAAUCCUCUGAUCCAUUGAAGACCACCAGUGGCGAAGGCGGCUUGCCAGAACGCGCUCGACGGUGAGGGAUGAAAGCUGGGGGAGCAAACCGG